UUCGACGUGACCGAGGAUGAUUCGCCGUUGCGCCAGUCUACUUCCUUUCAGAAACGGACGCUUCCUUUAUUCUUCAACACCAAGUAUAGUUCCCAAAAGAUUCCAGAAACCUGCUCGUGAAAAAGCGAUGGAACCCCAUCGCCGUUUCAUCUGGUUGUUAGUGGCGGCGACGCUCGCCUAUGAGACCACCCGGGCUUUUGGGUCCUCGCCGGACUCGGGUUUGGAUUUGGAGCUGAGUUCUCUGGGGCGAGAGCUGCUGGCGGCGGCGAGAGAGCCGGAGUUCUUCGGUUGGUUGACGAGCGUCAGGAGGAGAAUCCACGAGCGCCCGGAAUUGGCUUUCCAAGAGCACGGGACGAGUCAGCUCGUCCGGUCGGAGCUGGACGCGCUCGGGAUCGAGUACAACUGGCCGGUGGCCGAGACCGGGGUCGUGGCUUCGAUCGGGUCGGGCGCCCAACCCUGGUUCGCUCUCCGGGCCGACAUGGACGCCCUCCCUAUUCAGGAAUUGGUUGAGUGGGAACAUAAGAGCAGGAACGACGGUAAAAUGCAUGCUUGUGGUCAUGAUGCUCACACCACCAUGCUUCUAGGAGCAGCCAGAUUACUCAGCAGCAAAAAGGACUCUUUGAAGGGCACGAUCAAACUCGUCUUCCAACCCGGAGAAGAAGGUCGUGCUGGUGCAUACCAUAUGCUUCGAGAAGGAGCACUCGAUCAGUUCCAAGCCAUCUUUGGCCUACAUGUUUCACCAUAUUUGGAAACCGGCAGCAUUGGUUCACGGCCUGGUCCAAUGCUAGCAGGGAGUGGUAGAUUCUUAGCAACAAUACAAGGAAAAGGAGGGCAUGCGGCGAGCCCACAAGUGACUGUAGAUCCCGUUCUUGCUGCCUCAUCUGCAAUUAUCACGCUCCAGCAUAUCAUUUCCCGAGAAACAGAUCCUCUUGAGGCCAGGGUGAUCUCGGUGGGCUUCAUUGAGGGUGGCCAAGCUUUGAACGUAAUACCGGAUAUGGUCCGGUUUGGAGGAACUUUUAGGAGUAUGACUUCAGAUGGCUUGUAUAGUCUGCAACAUAGGAUCGAAGAGGUAAUAGAGUUGCAAGCAGCUGUGCAUCGGUGCAAUGCGACGGUCGACUUCAUGGAAGACAAAAUGAGGCCUUACCUUGCUACUGUGAAUGAUGAGACUUUGUACAGGCAUGCAAAAGGCGUCGGUGAAGCCCUGCUCGGCGAAUCCCGAGUGCACGUUGUGCCCAUGAGCAUGGGAGCAGAGGAUUUCAGCUUCUAUUCGGAGAAGAUGAAGGCCGCAUUUUUCAUGAUCGGCACAAAAAAUGGAACCCUAGGAUCGGAUAAGGCAUUGCACUCCCCGUACUUUUUCCUCGACGAGGAAGUUCUGCCCAUCGGAGCCGCUCUCCAUGCAGCAGUCGCUAUAUCGUACUUGGACGGGCAUGCAAUCGAGAUAUGAUCAGGUAUCGCCUGGCAGUUUUUGUACAGUUCAAUUUGCAUGGAUGGACCUUGAUUUACAUGGGGCAAAGGCUACACGAGAAACAUGUCGGACAUGGCGGGUUGAGGCUUAGAACUAACGAAAGUCGGUUUA